CAGGGCAGAACUGGAUUCCCAACCCCCUUACAGGAGCAGCAUCUGAGGACACUCCUUAGGUCUUGGUCCCAAGCCUCAUCACCCCUUUACUGCACCCCAUUCCUUCCUAUAUUUCCCACAGCCAUUCCUAUUUGAUUGGGAGAGUAAGUGGGGGACUUAAGGAGAAUGGAUUAAUUUUUUUGGCCAAAGGAAGUCUGGUCAUGUUCAAAUAUUGAACAAUGGAAUUAUGAAGAACUCAAAGUCUAAGGAUAAACUACAUAACAAGAGAGUUGAGAUGAAGAUUAUCAUGACUCUACCUUAGCAAGAGUGUUGCCCUUGAUAAGAGGGCAUCAGACUUAUCAAUCUUGUGUUCUGCUGCUCUUGGUAAUGCCAUAUUCUGAGGGGAAUACUGCAUAAGAUUUUUGCACCUCAGGAUCAAAAGGGUGGAAACAACAUGCAAAAUGACUUCCUAAAGAUAAGAACCAUCCAAGUCACCUCCAGUGACAGCUGUGGAUGGCUUCUUGUCCAAGUCUAAAUAAACCUGACAGAGAUUCAUGCUCAUAGACUUCAGGAUCUUCAGAGCCACCCAAGAUUAUACUUGCUGCUAUUCUACAGAGAAGAGGAAAAGAGAAGAGGGAAGGAAGAAUAGACAGGAGGAGAGAGGGAAGAAUACAAGGGAGGAGAGGAGGGAAGAAAAUGAGGAACACCUGCAGCAUUUGCUAUUUUCAAAUAUCCAUCAGUAGAAGGACAUCAUGAAUAAGUGGGCACACUCAGCAUGCUCUCAAGGAAGAGCCUUCAUCGCGCUUACAUGGAGAUGAAGUCUGUCUUUUUGGACUUGUUUUUCCCUCUUUGGAAGGCUGAGAUGAGAAGUCAAAGCUAAGAUCCCAGGGGCCAGCAAGGAGCAGCUGCUUCCCCUGCACUGGUUUCCAUAAAAGGGAGGGAAGUGCUCUACCAGUGAAAUGACUUAGGGAGAGGUCAGAGGGAGUGGGGGGGUUGGGAAAUGUUGGUCCAUGCCAUUGACACUAUUAUUCAAUCAAAGAAAUCUGGAAAUUCAUCUUUUUCCUUCCCUGAUAUACCCCCUAAAUAUGUCAAAUUGAAUGACUAAAUUCUAAUCCCAACUCUACCAUUGACUUAUUCAAUGAGCUUCUCUGUGCCUCAGUUUGUUAAUAAAAUGGGAACUAUGUUGUGAUGCUUAUAUUAUUUCUCAAACUAAGGGGGCACCAGAGGGUUCCUUUAACCUUAACAAAAUGAUCAGCAUAGUUCCUCUCUUUUAGUUAUUAUCUACCACAUCUACACCUCCUCCUCUAUCAUCUUAUUCUUCUCACCACUCAACUCUCCUCUCUUUAGCUGGGAACACAUCUUGUUUAACCAUC